rnacentral:lncRNA from 1 species
AAAUUGCAUAAAUGAGGGGGGGCAACAGUGUAUAAACAUAUAUCAUGAUAAAAACAUACUAAGUAUUAUUAAUCGGCUAGCAAAGAGAAGUUAAACAUACGACAUGAACUGAAUUAACUAGUGCGCACGACUAGUUAAAAGAAACAAACUUCCUUUGACAAUAAGUUUCUAAUUAAAUCAUGGCUGCGCCUGGGCAGCGUUAUUGUGAGAGUGAAAGUGGACGUGCUGCUACUCCCCUCAUUCCCAACAUGUAUCAAGUACCUGCAUUGAGUAAUGCAAGAGUGAGAUGACACAUCUCAGCAAGUAAAAUAAUAUCAAAUUGUUUAACCACAUAAGAACAUUGUUUUACCACCACUUGAUUCCACAAUUUUCUUAUUACGACGGUGCAACACGUAUACAACGUACAACACACCUAGUCACCACACCUCGCAGGUAGAAACCACAAUAGUAACAUAGUAAUGUCACACUUCAUAUAUACCUCAUGAGUGCAAAUGUCUGCAAAUGCAAGGAUGACUUCUGCCUUCAUACCUCUAAGGAUAUGAAGCCGCAUCAUACCCCUCCUCGGGCAACGUACAAUGCUAAAAAUGUACCGGUACUGUCGGACCAUAAGAUCACGACAUAACUUCAAAAUGCAAGAUGGAUGAUGUGAUGUGCAUGUCAUGCCUACAACACUUCAUAUAACGUGAUUCAAAAAAGAUACUUCAACUUUAUCCAAGAUGGGAAUCAACCACAUAUAUCAUAACCAAAUUAUGAUCAUCCACAAUAUUAGACAAUUGAGAAUUAAUACUUCCAAACAAAUAAACUUCAUCAUAGAAUUCAAUGAUUAACAUAAUUAAAACUUAUGCAUACUCAAUGACAGGGAAUAGGAUGCAAAGCAAACGGUAGCAACCACCACUAUAUUUACUUGCCUUUACCGGAAGUUCGGUCAAAUCCCUAAGUACGAUCCGGAAGUCCACCACCUGUUUUUUUGACACACAACUUAGUGCACCAAUUUCACAUAAUCUGGCUCAUAAACGACGCCGCACCUACGCACAAACUCAAACCCCGCCGCGGGUUACAUCUCUCCCCACACCCACCAAACUGCAGCGGCGCUGCUUAAUAAUUUUAUAACUUUAAAAUUAAGACAGCAGUGGUAACAAACAAAAACUCCAUAGUCAUCUACAUAAAAUUCCCCACACGUUUUGUAUACAAUUUAUAAUUAAAUUCCAACAUCUAAUUAGCCCAAAACAGUCCACAAGAUGAACCCUGUAAUCUGUUUUUUUGUCUUUUGGACAGCGACAUACCCGGAUUCAAACAGCGAUAUCUUUUAAAAUAUAAUUCCAAAUCAAGCGCAUAAGUACUCAUUGGAAAGAUAAGACAAAGCCCUACAUGAUUAUAAUACUGGUUAACACUAAUUACCCACGAAAAAUUCCCAGAAACUGCUAAUACUACUGUUGUUCACCCACCUGAAAAUUCUGUUUCUUUUGGACAACAACAUAACCGGAUUCAAACAACGAUAUCUCCUAAAUUAUAACUCCGAAUCGAGCGCAUAAGUACUCGUUGGAAAGGUAUGACAAAGCUCUACAUGAUUCUCCCACUGAUCCCCACUAAUUGCCCACGAAAAAUUCCCAGAAACUGCUAAUACUACUGCUGUUCACCCACCUGAAAAAUCUGUUUCUUUUGGACAGCAACAUAACCGGAUUCAAACAAUGAUAUCUCCUAAAUUAUAACUCCGAAUCGAGCGCAUAAGUACUCGUUGGAAAGGUAUGACAAAGCUCUACAUGAUUCUCCCACUGAUCCCCACUAAUUGUCCACGAAAAAUUCCCAGAAAUCCCUAGAACUACUGCUGUUCGCCCUCCCACAAAAAUUCUGGACAGCACCUCUACCGAUUCGCAUAGAUAAACAUAUAAUCAAUUGAAUUUUAGCGCAAAAACAUAGAUAACUUCAAGAUCACCUUGAGUUCCACCUUUUUCCUCCUUCCUUCCUCCCACCAAUUCUCCAAUUGAAACUUGCACCCACAUGAAGAAGAUCCGACGAGGAAGAACGACACUUGGAGAAGAGGAGAUGGGGGGUGGCGGCUAGGGUUGAGGAGAUGGCUGCUGCAAAAAACUUGAGAAUGGAGAGGGGGCGGCUGCAGCACUUGGGGAAGAGAGAAGAGGGAAGAGGGGGGGAGGGUGACGGCCAAAUGAGGGAAGGGGGGAGG